rnacentral:tRNA from 1 species
CAAAUAUGUACCCUAAUUAAGGGAGUUAUAGUGAUAAUAUAAAACAUAAGAGCUAACCUCUUCAUAUU